rnacentral:rRNA from 1 species
AUUGAACGCUAGCGGCAGGCCUUACACAUGCAAGUCGAACGAGUGGCGGACGGGUGAGUAAUGUCUGGGAAACUGCCUGAUAGCGGGGGAUAACUACUCGAAACGGUGGCUAAUACCGCAUACUAUUGGAUCUGCCGAUAUGGGAUUAGCUAGUGGGGGGGGUAAAGGCUCACCAAGGCGACGAUCCCUAGCUGGUCUGAGAGGAUGACCAGCCACACUGGGACUGAGACACGGUCCAGACUCCUACGGGAGGCAGCAGUGGGGAAUAUUGGACAAUGGGCGAAAGCCUGAUGCAGCCAUGCCGCGUGUAUGAAGAAGGCCUUCGGGUUGUAAAGUACUUUUGGCGGGGAAGCGGUAUCUGCAGAAGAAGCACCGGCUAACUACGUGCCAGCAGCCGCGGUAAUUC